GACGAACGCUGGCGGCGUGCUUAACACAUGCAAGUCGAACGCUGAAGCUCAGCUUGCUGGGUGGAUGAGUGGCGAACGGGUGAGUAACACGUGAGUAACCUGCCCUCUUCUUUGGGAUAACGCCCGGAAACGGGUGCUAAUACUGGAUAUUCACUGAUUCUCGCAUGGGGGUUGGUGGAAAGGUUUUUUCUGGUGGGGGAUGGGCUCGCGGCCUAUCAGCUUGUUGGUGGGGUGAUGGCCUACCAAGGCUUUGACGGGUAGCCGGCCUGAGAGGGUGACCGGUCACAGUGGGACUGAGAUACGGCCCAGACUCCUACGGGAGGCAGCAGUGGGGAAUAUUGCACAAUGGGCGAAAGCCUGAUGCAGCGACGCCGCGUGAGGGAUGGAGGCCUUCGGGUUGUAAACCUCUUUCGCUCAUGGUCAAGCCGCAGCUUUGGGUUGUGGUGAGGGUAGUGGGUAAAGAAGCGCCGGCUAACUACGUG
rnacentral:rRNA from 1 species